GUGGGGAAUAUUGGACAAUGGGCGAAAGCCUGAUCCAGCCAUGCCGCGUGUGUGAAGAAGGUCUUCGGAUUGUAAAGCACUUUAAGUUGGGAGGAAGGGCAGUAAGUUAAUACCUUGCUGUUUUGACGUUACCGACAGAAUAAGCACCGGCUAACUUCGUGCCAGCAGCCGCGGUAAUACGAAGGGUGCAAGCGUUAAUCGGAAUUACUGGGCGUAAAGCGCGCGUAGGUGGUUUUGUAAGUUGGAGGUGAAAUCCCCGGGCUCAACCUGGGAACUGCCUCCAAAACUACUGGGCUAGAGUACGGUAGAGGGUAGUGGAAUUUCCUGUGUAGCGGUGAAAUGCGUAGAUAUAGGAAGGAACACCAGUGGCGAAGGCGACUACCUGGACUGAUACUGACACUGAGGUGCGAAAGCGUGGGGAGCAAACAGGAUUAGAUACCCGGGUAGUCC
rnacentral:rRNA from 1 species